rnacentral:rRNA from 1 species
CACUUCCCGCAAAGGCUGAGUGUUGACAGGACCGAAAAGAAGUAGGGAAGCGUCCGAGUUCACGCUGGCGAGAAAAGCUGCUAAGGAGAGUGUGAGUGCCCGUACCGGAAACCGACGCAGGUGGGCGAGGAGAGAAUCCUGAGACGGACGGGAGAACUCUUGUUAAGGAACUCGGCAAAAUGACCCCGUAACUUCGGGAGAAGGGGUGCCUCGAAAGAGGCCGCAGAGAAUAGUCACAAGCGACUGUUUAGCAAAAACACAGGUAUCUGCGAAAGCGAGAGUUGACGUAUAGGUGCUGACGCCUGCCCGGUGCUGGAAGGUUAAGGGGAAGUGUUAGGGGAAACCCGAAGCAGAGAACCGAAGCCCCAGUAAACGGCGGCCGUAACAAUAACGGUCCUAAGGUAGCGAAAUUCCUUGUCGGGUAAGUUCCGACCCGCACGAAUGGCGUAACGACUUGUGAGCUGUCUCAACAGGAGGCCCGGUGAAAUUGAAGUAUGUGUGAAGAUGCACAUUACCCGCGACUGGACGGAAAGACCCCGUAGAGCUUUACUGUAACCUGACAUUGGAUCUUGAUAACGGAUGCACAGGAUAGGUGGGACGCUGGGAGACGAGGACUUUGGUUUUUCGUGGAGCGGCCGUUGGGAUACCACUCUUCUGUUAUUGAGAUUCUAACCUCAAGCCGUGAGCCGGAUGAGAGACAGUGUCAGGCGGACAGUUUGACUGGGGCGGUCGCCUCCGAAAGAGUAACGGAGGCGCCCAAAGGUACCCUCAGAAUGGAUGGAAACCAUUCGAAGAGAGCAAAGUCAGAAGGGUGCUUGACUGCGAGACCAACAAGUCGAGCAGGUACGAAAGUAGGGCUUAGUGAUCCGGCGGUAAGAGAGUGGAAUUGCCGUCGCUCAACGGAUAAAAGCUACCUCGGGGAUAACAGGCUGAUCUCCCCCAAGAGUUCACAUCGACGGGGAGGUUUGGCACCUCGAUGUCGGCUCGUCGCAUCCUGGGGCUGAAGCAGGUCCCAAGGGUUUGGCUGUUCGCCAAUUAAAGCGGCACGCGAGCUGGGUUCAGAACGUCGUGAGACAGUUCGGUCCCUAUCCAUCGUGGGCGAAGGACACAUGAGAGGAGCUGCUCCUAGUACGAGAGGACCGGAGUGGACGCAUCACUGGUGCAACUGUUGUCGUGCCAACGGCACAGCAGGGAAGCGAAAUGCGGACGGGAUAAACGCUGAAGGCAUCUAAGCGUGAAGCCCACCUCAAGAAUAAGUGUCCCAUUCGAAAGAAGUAAGACCCCUGGAAGACUACCAGGUGAUAGGUCAUCGGUGAAAGAGUGGUAACAUUUGGAGCUUGAUGAUACUAAUCGGUCGAGGACUUGA